rnacentral:rRNA from 1 species
CGCGGCCUAUCAGCUUGUUGGUGGGGUAAUGGCCUACCAAGGCGACGACGGGUAGCCGACCUGAGAGGGUGACCGGCCACACUGGGACUGAGACACGGCCCAGACUCCUACGGGAGGCAGCAGUGGGGAAUAUUGCACAAUGGGCGAAAGCCUGAUGCAGCGACGCCGCGUGAGGGAUGAAGGCCUUCGGGUUGUAAACCUCUUUCAGCAGGGACGAAGCGUGAGUGACAGUACCUGCAGAAGAAGCACCGGCUAACUACGUGCCAGCAGCCGCGGUAAUACGUAGGGUGCGAGCGUUGUCCGGAAUUACUGGGCGUAAAGAGUUCGUAGGCGGUUUGUCGCGUCGUUUGUGAAAACCCGGGGCUCAACUUCGGGCUUGCAGGCGAUACGGGCAGACUUGAGUGUUUCAGGGGAGACUGGAAUUCCUGGUGUAGCGGUGAAAUGCGCAGAUAUCAGGAGGAACACCGGUGGCGAAGGCGGGUCUCUGGGAAACAACUGACGCUGAGGAACGAAAGCGUGGGUAGCAAACAGGAUUAGAUACCCUGGUAGUCCACGCCGUAAACGGUGGGCGCUAGGUGUGGGUUCCUUCCACGGAAUCUGUGCCGUAGCUAACGCAUUAAGCGCCCCGCCUGGGGAGUACGG